AUAACUGUUAAUGAAAGCAGAUUCAAAGCAACACCACCACCACUGAAGUAUUUUUAGUUAUAUAAGAUUGGAACUACCAAGCAUGUGGCUCCUGGUCAGUGUAAUUCUAAUCUCACGGAUAUCCUCUGUUGGGGGAGAAGCAACAUUUUGUGAUUUUCCAAAAAUAAACCAUGGAAUUCUAUAUGAUGAAGAAAAAUAUAAGCCAUUUUCCCAGGUUCCUACAGGGGAAGUUUUCUAUUACUCCUGUGAAUAUAAUUUUGUGUCUCCUUCAAAAUCAUUUUGGACUCGCAUAACAUGCACAGAAGAAGGAUGGUCACCAACACCAAAGUGUCUCAGACUGUGUUUCUUUCCUUUUGUGGAAAAUGGUCAUUCUGAAUCUUCAGGACAAACACAUCUGGAAGGUGAUACUGUGCAAAUUAUUUGCAACACAGGAUACAGACUUCAAAACAAUGAGAACAACAUUUCAUGUGUAGAACGGGGCUGGUCCACCCCUCCCAAAUGCAGGUCCACUGACACUUCCUGUGUGAAUCCGCCCACAAGAGUACGUUAUGAAUGUAGGAGCCCUUAUGAAAUGUUUGGGGAUGAAGAAGUGAUGUGUUUAAAUGGAAACUGGACAGAACCACCUCAAUGCAAAG
rnacentral:lncRNA from 1 species